rnacentral:rRNA from 1 species
GGCUCAGGAUGAACGCUAGCGACAGGCCUAACACAUGCAAGUCGAGGGGCAGCACAAGGAGUAAUCUGAGGUGGCGACCGGCGCACGGGUGAGUAACACGUAUGCAACCUGCCUGUAAGCGGGGAAUAACCCGUUGAAAGACGGACUAAUACCGCAUAAUACUAAAUUACUGCAUGGUAAUUUAUUUUAAACAUUUAUGGCUUACAGAUGGGCAUGCGCAUGAUUAGCUAGUUGGAGAGGUAACGGCUCCCCAAGGCAACGAUCAUUAGGGGUUCUGAGAGGAAGGUCCCCCACACUGGUACUGAGACACGGACCAGACUCCUACGGGAGGCAGCAGUGAGGAAUAUUGGUCAAUGGACGAGAGUCUGAACCAGCCAAGUCGCGUGCAGGAAGAAUGUCCCUAUGGAUUGUAAACUGCUUUUGCAGGGGAAUAAAGUGCAUCACGUGUGAUGUUUUGUAUGUACUCUGCGAAUAAGGAUCGGCUAACUCCGUGCCAGCAGCCGC